ensembl:lncRNA
AAUAGUCACAUGUUCAGGGUUACAGGUGUUAUUACAGUGUUUAAUAGUCACAUGUACAGGGUUACAGGUGUUAUUACAGGGUACAGUGUUUAAUAGUCACAUGUACAGGGUUACAGGUGUUAUUACAGUGUUUAAUAGUCACAUGUACAGGGUUACAGGUGUUAUUACAGGGUACAGUGUUUAAUAGUCACAUGUACAGGGUUGCAGGUGUUAUUACAGUGUUUAAUAGUCACAUGUACAGGGUUACAGGUGUUAUUACAGUGUUUAAUAGUCACAUGUACAGGGUUGCAGGUGUUAUUAGUGUUUAAUAGUCACAUGUACAUGGUUGCAGGUGUUAUUACAGGGUACAGUGUUUA